GAGCCCGCUGAGCUCGGCGCUGGAGCAGGAGCGCUGCCGGCAGCCCGGCGGGCAGCGCGGAGGGGCGGCCGAGCCCCGGGUACAGCCGUGUCUGUGUGCGGCGGCUGCCGCUGCCGGGCGGGGGAUCCCGAGGGAGCCAUCGAACCAGCCGAAACAGCGAGAGACGGGGAGAUUCGGGCUUGGCGCGCACCAAGCGUUUGGGAUUGGUAGCUCCGGCAGACCAGCACUUCAUUUCUAAUGAGAAGGCAGUCAUCCAAAAACCAGCUUAAUGAAAAUGCUGCAUUGCACUGGAUUAUUCCUGCUGUACACUGCUGAGGAAUGAGGUGAAUGGCUUUGGGAGCUUCUGAAACAAAAGUACCUGCAGUGCUUUUAUGAUAUUGCCAUUUUCUGUCAUCAGACAAUCUGGAAUACCUGGAAACACAGAUCUGUUUAGUCAUGAGAUGGACCAGAGAUCCCUGCUUGCUAAUUUGCUUAAGAUGGCAUGUUUGCCAUGGCUGGAAUUCAUCCUCCCUAACCCCUACCAUCUGAAAGCUAGGGAGCUGACUGGGGGUGCACAAGGAGCUGGGAGGGGACACAGCUGAGACAGCUGACCCCAACUGACCACAGGGAUAUUCCAGACCAUAUGAUGUUGUGCUCAGCAUAUAAAGCUGGGAGAAGAAGGAAGGAAAGGGUGAUAUUUGGACUGGCGGUGUUUCUCUUCCCAAGUCACCAAUACCUGGAGUGAAGCCCUGCUUUCCUGGAGAUGGCUGAAUGCCUGCCUGUUGAUAGGAAGUGAAUAAAUUCCUUCUUCUGCUU